rnacentral:pre_miRNA from 1 species
AUUGUCCUUAUAAAUCUAGCCUCUACUAGGCUUUGUCUGUGCAUUUUAAGUUGGUCAGACAUAGCCUAUGAGAGGUUAGGUGUACCAAGUUGAC